UACGGGGGGAGCAAGCGUUGUUCGGAUUUACUGGGCGUAAAGGGCGCGUAGGCGGCCCGACAAGUCCGCUGUGAAAGUCAGGGGCUCAACCCUUGGAUGCCGGUGGAUACUGUCGGGCUAGAGUCCGGAAGAGGCGAGUGGAAUUCCUGGUGUAGCGGUGAAAUGCGCAGAUAUCAGGAGGAACACCGAUGGCGAAGGCAGCUCGCUGGGACGGUACUGACGCUGAGGCGCGAAAGCGUGGGGAGCAAACAGG
rnacentral:rRNA from 1 species